rnacentral:lncRNA from 1 species
AAAACAUGCGUAAUUGGAGAUGUGGCUGCGGAAUGGUAUUGACGGUGGUGAUCUUUUGUAUGGACACGUAUAGGUGGAUGCACGCGUCAAUCGGCACACAGCAUCGCUCAUCUGCCGCCGUUUUGGAAAAUGGUUUUGACAGCAAAAGUCAACGUGGCUUGCUCGGUUGCCACAUGCGGAAAUCACGUGCCAUCCAACUCUAU